ensembl:lncRNA
CUAUUUUAGCCCUUGGCAACGCAGACGUCCGUUGGCGCGCGCGAGCAGUGUGGGUGCAAUAAUUGAAUAACAUAGAUUUCUACAUUUAUUUUGCAACCCAUGUUCAAAUCCAGACUGCGUUUCUAUCAAAAUGGUCCACCUUCCCUGUGGCUGACAUGGUUGCUGUAUGGACAGUGGAGAGGACAUGGAUGUCUCGUUUGUCAUGUCACUUUACUGCCAGCUGUUGACAUUUCUUAUUUUGUAUAACGGGUCAUUUAGGAUGGCAGUAGCAUUGUUGAUGAAAUGCAGUCAUUGCAGCAGAACUAGGAAACAGUCUUGGGAAAAGAGGGUGGCAAAGAAGGGAGUUGCAAACAUAGGAUCUGUGCUCCAGUACUCUCUUAGGGAGUUCUUCUUUACUCUCCCCAUGAGAAGGACUGUCACCAGGAAGGUAUACAUUUCACUAAUUGUGGUUGUCCCCCCCACUCCUGGCUCUCUCUUCUCCUGUAGCUCCAAGGCAUAGCGAUUGGUCUCUGCUAUGUCUCCCACCAGCUCCUCUGUCAGAAACAACUUGAAGCACUCUGCCUCAGAUGGAAAUGGCAAGGGGCGGUGCUCUCCAGACUGGGACUCAUCAAAGCAAACAACAGGGCCAGGAGGGGUGAAAUGGCUGGCAGCCUUCCAGCUAACACAGAACUCCUGUACUUCAUCCACUGUCGGUCUGCCUCCAUCACCACCAGCAUCUUCAAAGGGAACUAGGACGUUGUCAGUGGACAGGGGGUCCUCAGAUUCAGAGUUCUCAAUGGCUGGGGGGCAGCUCCUCACUGUCACUGUCAGAAUCUGAUUCCUGACUUUCAGACACAGAAUUUUCAGAAUUUUUUAAACCUCCAGAAUUUCUGCAUUUGUGAGUUGUCUCCUUUUGAAAGACAUUGCUAAUGCUACAACUUAACUCACUAGCUACAUCCAUAAAACAACAACACCGAAUGGCUCAGAGUGGGAGUGAGAGGUUACGUGAUUGACUGCCUGCGCUCGCCAUUUGUAUCAAU